UUAAUUUUCAUUCGAAAAUUUGGUCGUCAGACAAUGUUUUCUAGACUGCAAGUUUUUUUGUUCUGGUGCUAGCGGCAGGCUGACGCGGACGGUUGCUGCCAACCGCCUGCGGCUGCCGAAGCGAAAGGUUUGUUUGGUUCACACGGGGUGGACACUUCUUGGCCCCCCGGAGAGGGCCGCGGAGUGCAUGUUUGGUUGGGUAAUGAUCCUUCCGCAGGUUCACCUACGGAAA
rnacentral:misc_RNA from 1 species